UACGAAGGGGGCUAGCGUUGCUCGGAAUCACUGGGCGUAAAGCGCACGUAGGCGGCUUUCUAAGUCAGGGGUGAAAUCCUGGAGCUCAACUCCAGAACUGCCUUUGAUACUGGAGAGCUCGAGUCCGGAAGAGGUGAGUGGAACUCCGAGUGUAGAGGUGAAAUGCGCAGAUAUCAGGAGGAACACCCGUGGCGAAAGCGGCUCUCUGGGACGGUACUGACGCUGAGACGCGAAAGCGUGGGGAGCAAACAGG
rnacentral:rRNA from 1 species